CCUACGGGAGGCAGCAGUGGGGAAUAUUGGACAAUGGGGGGAACCCUGAUCCAGCCAUGCCGCGUGUGUGAAGAAGGCCCUCGGGUUGUAAAGCACUUUCAGUGAGGAAGAACGCCUGGUGGUUAAUACCCAUCAGGAAAGACAUCACUCACAGAAGAAGCACCGGCUAACUCCGUGCCAGCAGCCGCGGUAAUACGGAGGGUGCGAGCGUUAAUCGGAAUUACUGGGCGUAAAGCGCGCGUAGGUGGCUUGAUAAGCCGGUUGUGAAAGCCCCGGGCUCAACCUGGGAACGGCAUCCGGAACUGUCAAGCUAGAGUGCAGGAGAGGAGGGUAGAAUUCCCGGUGUAGCGGUGAAAUGCGUAGAGAUCGGGAGGAAUACCAGUGGCGAAGGCGGCCUUCUGGACUGACACUGACACUGAGGUGCGAAAGCGUGGGUAGCAAACAGGAUUAGAUACCCCAGUAGUC
rnacentral:rRNA from 1 species